AUUGAACGCUAGCGGGAUGCUUUACACAUGCAAGUCGAACGGCAGCGCGGACUUCGGUCUGGCGGCGAGUGGCGAACGGGUGAGUAAUGUAUCGGAACGUGCCCAGUAGCGGGGGAUAACUACGCGAAAGCGUAGCUAAUACCGCAUACGCCCUACGGGGGAAAGCAGGGGAUCGUAAGACCUUGCACUAUUGGAGCGGCCGAUAUCGGAUUAGCUAGUUGGUGAGGUAACGGCUCACCAAGGCGACGAUCCGUAGCUGGUUUGAGAGGACGACCAGCCACACUGGGACUGAGACACGGCCCAGACUCCUACGGGAGGCAGCAGUGGGGAAUUUUGGACAAUGGGGGCAACCCUGAUCCAGCCAUCCCGUGUGUGCGAUGAAGGCCUUCGGGUUGUAAAGCACUUUUGGCAGGAAAGAAACGUCGCGGGCUAAUACCCCGUGGAACUGACGGUACCUGCAGAAUAAGCACCGGCUAACUACGUG
rnacentral:rRNA from 1 species